rnacentral:rRNA from 1 species
UACGAAGGGGGCUAGCGUUGCUCGGAAUCACUGGGCGUAAAGGGUGCGUAGGCGGGUCUUUAAGUCAGAGGUGAAAUCCUGGAGCUCAACUCCAGAACUGCCUUUGAUACUGAGGAUCUUGAGUUCGGGGAGAGGUGAGUGGAACUGCGAGUGUAGAGGUGAAAUUCGUAGAUAUUCGCAAGAACACCAGUGGCGAAGGCGGCUCACUGGCCCGAUACUGACGCUGAGGCACGAAAAGCGUGGGGGAGCAAACAGG